UCUGUUGUUUAUGCCCCACGAUAACGUAGGCAGAAAAGCUCUAUCGUUACGCGUUGGUUGUGAUUGAUA
rnacentral:pre_miRNA from 1 species